rnacentral:rRNA from 1 species
AAACCAACAGGGAUUGCCCCAGUAGCGGCGAGUGAAGCGGCAAGAGCUCAGAUUUGAAAUCGUGCCAAUUUUUUUGGCACGAGUUGUAGAGUGUAGGCGGGAGUCUUUGUGGAGCACGGUGUCCAAGUCCCUUGGAACAGGGCGCCUGAGAGGGUGAGAGCCCCGUGGGGUGUCGUGCGAAGCUUUGAGGCCCUGCUGACGAGUCGAGUUGUUUGGGAAUGCAGCUCCAAGUGGGUGGUAAAUUCCAUCUAAGGCUAAAUACUGGCGAGAGACCGAUAGCGAACAAGUACUGUGAAGGAAAGAUGAAAAGCACUUUGAAAAGAGAGUGAAACAGCACGUGAAAUUGUUGAAAGGGAAGGGUAUUGGGCCCGACAUGGGGAGUGCGCACCGCUGUCUCUUGUAGGCGGCGCUCUGGGCGCUCUCUGGGCCAGCAUCGGUUCUUGCUGCGGGAGAAUGGGUGCCGGAAAGUGGCUCUUCGGAGUGUUAUAGCCGGCGCCAGAUACCGCGUGCGGGGACCGA